AGAACGAACGCUGGCGGCAUGCCUAACACAUGCAAGUCGAACGAGACCUUCGGGUCUAGUGGCGCACGGGUGCGUAACGCGUGGGAAUCUGCCCUUGGGUUCGGAAUAACAGCGAGAAAUUGCUGCUAAUACCGGAUGAUGACGUAAGUCCAAAGAUUUAUCGCCCAAGGAUGAGCCCGCGUAGGAUUAGCUUGUUGGUGAGGUAAGAGCUCACCAAGGCGACGAUCCUUAGCUGGUCUGAGAGGAUGAUCAGCCACACUGGGACUGAGACACGGCCCAGACUCCUACGGGAGGCAGCAGUGGGGAAUAGUUGGACAAUGGGACGAAAGGCCUGAUCCCAAGCAAAUGCCGCGUGGAGUGAUGAAGGCCUUAGGGUUAGUAAAGUCUCGUUUUACCCGGAUAGAUAAUAGACAGUACCGGAGAAUAAGCUCCGGACUAACUCCGUGCCAGCCAGCCGGC
rnacentral:rRNA from 1 species